GAUGAACGCUGGCGGCGUGCUUAACACAUGCAAGUCGAACGGAAAGGCCAGUGCUUGCACUGGUACUCGAGUGGCGAACGGGUGAGUAACACGUGGGUGAUCUGCCCUGCACUUCGGGAUAAGCCUGGGAAACUGGGUCUAAUACCGGAUAGGACAAUGGUUUGGAUGCCGUUGUGGAAAGUUUUUUCGGUGUGGGAUGAGCUCGCGGCCUAUCAGCUUGUUGGUGGGGUAAUGGCCUACCAAGGCGUCGACGGGUAGCCGGCCUGAGAGGGUGUACGGCCACAGUGGGACUGAGAUACGGCCCAGACUCCUACGGGAGGCAGCAGUGGGGAAUAUUGCACAAUGGGCGCAAGCCUGAUGCAGCGACGCCGCGUGGGGGAUGACGGCCUUCGGGUUGUAAACUCCUUUCGCUAGGGACGAAGCGUAUUUGUGACGGUACCUGGAGAAGAAGCACCGGCUAACUACGUG
rnacentral:rRNA from 1 species